AUGGCUCAGAACGAACGCUGGCGGCAGGUCUUAGGCAUGCAAGUCGAACGGAUGACAAGGGAGCUUGCUUCCUUGAAGUCAGUGGCGCACGAGUGAGUAACGCGUGGGAAACUGCCCUUCGACUGGGGAAUAACGUUUGGAAACGAACGCUAAUACCGCAUACGCCCGCAAGGGGAAAGAUUUAUCGGUGAUGGAUGUGCCCGCGUUGGAUUAGCUAGUUGGUGGGGUAAUGGCCUACCAAGGCGAUGAUCCAUAGCUGGUCUGAGAGGACGAUCAGCCACGCUGGAACUGAGACACGGUCCAGACUCCUACGGGAGGCAGCAGCUAAGAAUAUUGGGCAAUGGAGGAAACUCUGACCCAGCCAAUGCUGCGUGAAUGAAGAAGGCCUUCGGGUUGUAAAGUUCUUUUAGUCAUGAAGAUGAUGACAGUAGUGACAGAAAAAGCACCGGCUAACUUCGUGCCAGCCGCGGC
rnacentral:rRNA from 1 species